UUAAUCAUUCUGUCUUCGGAGAAAGACCAUAUUUUGAAGGUUAUAUAAAUUUACAACUAUGAAUACAUAGUUCAGAUAUAUUGUUAUUUAUUUGCAGGUUUCUAUACUAAAACAGGCUCAAAUUUUACACCUUUCCAAUCAUAAACAUUGAAAGCCAAAAUAGGUCCUCUAUCAUAUAUAUCUUCUUUGAAAAUUAAAUACAUUCUUCACAUAUUAUCCAAAUACACACAAACAAUAUACAUAUUCACAUACCACUAGCUAUAAAAAAAUUAAAAUGAAAAUAAAAAAUAAUGAAAAGGUACAAUAUUACUAAGCAUCAAUCAUUUCCAUGGUAUUGAAGCAUCU
rnacentral:lncRNA from 1 species